rnacentral:lncRNA from 1 species
GGCGACACGAAACCGCCAUUUAUUCCGGACGAAAUUCAGGGCGGGGAACCCCCAGAAUUCCCCUUAUUCAGGCAUUACACAAUCUCACAGCACGGUAACAACAACAGCUUUCCUAUGUGUUGAUCCUGAUCAUGUCGUUUCUCUAGUGUUCAAGGUAUAACGACGACUCACUCUACACGUGUCCACAAGGAAAUGCACAUGUCCUAUAACAUCUUGAAUCAAUACUCCCAGCACAUACACACAAAACCAUACAAGAACCAGCUGCAGAUGUCGCUUGGCACGAAGCCCUGGAUCAUUCGUUCUUCUUCACAGAUUUCGCCUUGUCAGCGCCGCUGUACGGAGCGACAUGGUACGCAUACUGCUGGAGUACCGAGAAGAUGACCAUUUCCAGGAUAAUCAAGACAUUCUGGAUUGCCUCCUGGAUGUGCUCCACGUCCAGCCAGAAAUGGUGAGACUGAAUCACCCCUACAGCAGCCAAAACAUCCAGCGCACAGCCCUGCGGACAGAUAAUAGCAUUCAAGAAGCAGGAGUUUGAUAAGAUUUGAUUUGCUAAAAAUAAACUCUGUUACAAAAUGGAACGGGUGCCGUGUUUAGCUAUUUAGUUUCCUACAGCCAAGGGUUGCAAGUUAGAAUGUCUGCCUCAAGCACCCAUAGUAGACAACAGGGUGGUUCACUCACAACAAGAGGUCCACUGGGAAUGUCUACAACAAAGUUGCGCAUUGAAAGGUCAAAUAAUUUAACUGAUUUAUGCUCAUAAACUCGUUUCACACUUAUCUCUAGCUUCUUUUUUCACGACAAGGGGGGCUGUGUAUAGUUGUUUCUUUGCGACCUUUAUUAAAAAAAAUGGCUGAACUUGAAUAUUUACAUGGGAAUGCAUGGAAAGUUAAAUUGCAGACGACCCUCCUAGAUUGAUAGCCAUCAAGGUAAUUAAAUAACAUGCUGGACAAAAUCCAAAGAGUGAGUGAGAGAAGAAGCUUCAUGCAAAAUCCUCCCAGAUAACAUGGCAAGAAUAGAAGUUCUUAACUAUCAACAUUACUAAACCAAUAUCGCCACCUCAACAAAUGUUCAGAUGCAACCAUGAAGACAAACUGGCGUACAAUUACAUCAAUAGCAUUCAGACACACAAAAAAACUAUCCCCAAAGAUAUUUAUAAGAAUAUUCGAACCCUUCCAGCCAGGAGAGCAAGUGAUUUACCUGCCAGAAAGAGAAGAAGACAAUCCCUUUGAUGCACAAGAACUUCGCAAGAGGCUUGUGAGGUGCCAACUCCUUGGCAAACAAGUGAUAGAAAAUGACCAAGGCAUACAGUGCCAUGGAGACUGACAAGUUCAGUAUAAUUGUGAACGUCCAACUGACCCAGCUGGGGUACAGCCCAAUAAGCUGAAGUGCGAUAAUCAGAAUGGAGCAUACAGGCCUAACAACAACAAAUUGCCAGGUCCAGUACUUCAGAAGCUUUAGUGUCUUGUGCUCCAACCGAACAUUGCGGGGCUGCCAAAGCACAGAGCCAGAAGCGUUUGGUUACUUUCAGUACACACAAAGUAAAACUAUGAACAGGGUGAAAAGCCUUAACUAACAGUACUGCUAAUAGCUUCCAGACUAUACAUGCAGGACAACAUUUAAACGCAUAUAGGCAAACAUAGCGGACAAGCCAUGGAGAAUCGAAGUUAAAAUCAUAACUCAAGCAUGACUACUCGUAUGCUACCUCCAUUCCAAAAUAUAAAACGUUUUGGCAAGCAGAUAUUACUAUCUGAAUAAGUACUUUAUUAAUGGAGUAUAUAAACCUUUUUGUUAAGACCGCAAAUCAUUUUAAUAUUACUGAACAAUGACUACUCAUAUGUACAUGCUCCAAUUAACCAGAUAUUACUAUAUGAAUAGGUACUUUAUUAAUGGAGUAUAUAAGCCUUUUUGUUAAGACCGCGAAUCAUUUUAGUACUACUGAACAAUGCAGCAUCCUUCAAAUAUGUAAAGAUUCAGUAUGGCUGUAUGGGUAUGCCCCCUUACUAUAGUGCAGGUUGCAAUACCAAAGUUCAAUAGUAGAUUACAGCAACAUUCAUCGAACUUCCUAUAAGAGUAUGCGAGGGUGUAAGAAGAUACCAGGAAAAGAGAGACAGGGAAAGAAUGAUGAAGAGCCCUCCCUUUGAUUUCAUCAGGUACAAUGUUUUUGCUAAUAGAUAUAUUCAAGUAGCUGUACAUCAAUGCCAGAAACUUAGCAAUAACCUGCACAAUUGAAAGGAAAUAAUAUAAGGAAAAGUGAACGAAAUCGAAAACUUCAGGUGAAAAAUGUCAUCAUUGACCAGAGAGGACUCACCAGUGCCUCAUAGCAUCCUUUAACAGACUCCAAGCAUGUAAAAAACGUUUUGCUUCCCUUAAUAUCCAGAAGGCCAACAAAGGAAGUUAUAGCAUAGAGUGGAGCCAUUAGCACAAUGAUGAGUAUAGCCUUCUGCUCUUUGGGAUUUUUCCAAUAGAAAAGAUGUUGUGAUACCAACUGCACUGUGAAAUGCAUCGAUAACAUUACACAACAGGCUGCUCCAAGGAGGGUAAGUGUUGGAGGGUCCAUUUUGGUAAGGUCCAUCCCUGGGAACAUGGACAUGGUGCCUGAAGAUAAAGAUGUUCAUGCUUAUUCAUCAUGGAUAUGAACUUAAGCUAAUGAUUAUUCAGAAAAAAGGUAGCAUGGGAAGAACAGAACACCGAGAGCGUGAAGGCAUGUGUGAUCAUUUUCAAGAUAGUUAAGAGCAAGUAACCAAGUAGGGAAUAGAACCGAAUCUCCAAAUGCUCAUUUGGAGUCACUCCUAAAGAUCCCCUCUCCGGAUUUGGCGCCAUGCCCACGCCCCCUCUCCUUCCCCCACGGCCUCCCCGACGCCCCCCGCCCGCUCGCAUCCCCCCACCCCACGGGACAGCAGCAACCAAGCACCGGCAACGAUGUCGAUGGAGGAACUGCGCCCCGACCACCUAGCGCACCCAAAUCCAGAUCGGCGUCAGCCUUCCGUCGUCGCCAGGCGCCGCCCAGCGGCUCCCCCUCGGCAUGUGCGGUACAGAAAUUAGAGGAGGGAGGGAGCGGGGCGUGCCUACGGCUUCAGUCGCCAUGCGGGAGGGAAGGAAGAGGGCCAGCUAACGCCGGUUGCUGGUUGCUGAGCCGACGAGAGAUCUGCAGCAAAUUUGGCGAGUCUCUCUCAUGCGCUGUGUGACGACUGACGAGUAUCAGCCGGCCACGGUCUUAAGUCUCAACUCUCGAUAUUUACUGCAACAACAUCAUCGCGUCUUCACACACAACAAACACGUCCGCGUUUAUUUCUCUGUCGGUCGGUCGGCCUCCACCUCCCUCCCCCAGCUGGCUGGCGUGACAAGCCUCACGCUCCACGCCUCCACGCAUGCAACUCAUCACUAUUCACACUGUAUACUCCACAGGGAAGGAAGAGUAACAUUUUUUUCGAUAAGGCCGAGCAGCAGCUCGCCGACGAUGUGUCUAUUCGCAUAUCCACAUGGACAGAUUAAGCUUUAAUGCAUUACUUAUCAAUGGCGACUCGCGCUUGUUAAAAUUCAGCACCGCAAGCACGGGGAGAACUUGUGCGCACGCAUUUGCCUGUUUGGAUCUGUACUUGUACGCUUACAUGAUUUAUUAUAUGCUUCCUUCGUUUUUAAACACUAGCAAAAGGGCUCGUGCGUUGCAACGGGAGAAAAAAAUAUCACACGUUUUUAAUUUUGUUAUAAUCAUUUUAAUUUAUUAAAAUAAUAAGCCAACUAAUGUAGUCAGUUCUAUCCUAUUUUGUUGAGAAAUCAAUCCAUCCAUUGUUAAUUCCAUCAUGAUGAGAAAUUGAGCGGGACAAACAAAGCAAAACAAAGAGGCUACGUGAAUUGAUCAAUGUACUGUUAUCUUAUUUCACUCAUGGGGUAGAGAAUGUGGGAUCAGAUGAUAAACCGAAGGUGAUGUUCUAUUCUCUGUCUUCACAACAAUACAAUCUUACAUUCAAUACAUUCAUUCAUCAGCAAACAAAUCCCCACAAAACAAAAAUUCUUGCCGGUGCUUGGCACGCGGUUGGAGGCAUGGGGAGGGGAUCUCACCAAAUGAUGAGUUCCUGCCGGAGAAGGGAUACGAUGAGGGGAGCAAGGGUUAGGCGCCUCUAUCUGGCCAUAAGGAGUCGUUGUUGCCGCUUCAUAACCUCGGAGUUCCCCGUGUGAGCCAUGGAGGCCCGCCUCCACCUGCAAGUACUUCGCUCCGCCACGCCGCCGCCGUUCUGCAUCGAGCAUACGCAUCAUCCCCAGUCACUGUAGCUGUCGCGUUGAUUUGAUCCAGAAGUUGUGCUCGAGCGCCAAAACGGGGGCAGCAAGCAGGCAGAGGUACGGUCGCGGAGGCGGGUGGGUUGAGAUCGACAACAGUGGUGGUUGAGGUCGGCCGCGACGACGAGUGGUGUGGCAGCGGCCUGGGCACACGCCAGGGUGGACCAGGGUCGACGCGAUGAGCUCGAGCGCCGCAACAGGGGCAGUGAGCGGGGAGAGGUACGGCUGCGGAGGAGGGUGGGUUGAGAUCGGCAGCGGUGGCGGUUGAGGUCGGCCGUGGCGGCGAGUGGUGUGGCGGCCUGGGCAUAGGCCAGCGUGGCCCAGAGUCGAUGGGAGGAGGCGAUGCGUACGGGUAUAAUUUUUGCAGCGAAUCAUUUUUUCCUUUUACGUUACAGAUAAAUGAUGAAGCGCGGGUUGAAUAACAAAAAUUACAGGGGCUUUUUUAUAAAAAUGCCGCGGUGGAUUUUCCGACGGAAGCAAUAGCCUCUUUAUUAUUAGGUAUAGAUAUGGCUUUUUAUAUUCCCUCCAUCACGGUUUAGAAGGCACGCUUGAAAAUCUCUCGGACCAAGGUAGUCGUCGAUUGGUUGUGAGAUGUAGCAGGUGUAGAUGCUAAUGCGCCUAAUCAACUGAGAAAAUACUAGUACUAACGCGUGAGCAGCAAAUUGGGAGGGCGCGUGCGUUAUUAGUACUCCCUCCGGUCCUUUUUACUCCGCAUAUUAGAUUUAGGUCAAGUCAAACUUUAUAAAGUUUGACCAAAUAUAUAUUUAAAAAUAUCAACAUUUACAAUAUCAAAUAUACAUAUCAUGAAACUACCUUUCGUAAUGAAUCUAACAAUAUUAAUUUGGCAUUAUGAAUGUUCAUUCAUGUUUCUAUAAAUUUGAUCAAAGUACAGAUACUUUGACUUCGGACAAAGCUAAUAUGCAGACUAAAAAAGACCGGAGGGAGCACUAGUACUAAUUAAUAAAAGUAAUUGUUUUCACGUCUUAAACCUUGUCUAUUUUGAAAACGCACACAAGUUUAACUGUGUCUUUUAAACCGUGACGGAGGGAGUAGUAGAUUUCAUUCAUACUAGUACAUACAUCCCUUUUUAAGUGUAAGUGGGUUAAAGUGCUUUGAGUCUCACGUCAUAUUUAAUUCAUAGAAUCAUUCACUUACAAUUCAUCUUGAUUGAUAAGAUUUUAGAUUUGAAUUCUAUAAACCGGGAGUACGAAGUAAAAUUGAAUUAAUCUUCGUUUUAAAGUACUUCCUCCGUUCCUCUUUAGUUUGCGUGUAAGUUUUUCUCAUUUUUUAUGUAAUACCAUGCGGGAUACAGAUUUGUAGCCAUUUCUUUCGAAUCUAUCUCUACUUUUCAACACAGGCUGCCUACUCUUGUGCAUUAAUUCUGAUCACACAUGCAGCGCACAUAAAGGAGGAUGGGCCAAUGACAGCCAUGCAGAGAAAUAUGCAAGGAAAACGAGGCGGACCGGCCAAUUAACUGCCUCGCGUCAUUAACCGCUUUGCGACUUUCCAGGUCGUUGCAAUUCAUCCAGCACAUGGGCAAUUUUGUCCGAAAUUAAUUUUCAGGGGCAUGUAUGUGUGAUGUGAGUUAUACGCACACUAAAAAGAAUUGGAGAGAGUACAUUAGUAUGUAAAUUUUAUAUGAUUUUUUUUAAACUUAUAUUUAGAAACGAAAGAAGUACAUUAAGAUCGAAAAUGAGCCCCACGAAAGCUAUCUUUAAAAAAAAUCAAAAAUCAUAUUUUUAUGUUUCAUCUUCUGAAAAUACAGAUAUUUAUGAAGGCACGAUGCAUAUGUGUGUAAAUUUUUAUGAUGAAAUAUAUUAAAAUGAAGGCGGUGUAAGGAAUGUAAUACAAAUCUAUGGUAAAAGCACACGAAAUGUUCAUCCCCAAAGUCCAGGAAUCUGUGGGGUUUUUUACAGGAAAUGUUCAUCUGAAGUUUUGUUGUCUAAAAAAUCAAAUUUGCUUUACUAACUUUUUUGCCGAACCUAAAAGUAUUCUUAUUUUCACAUAAAUUCUACAUGCCCUCCUAAAGUCCUAAUUAUAGUGUGAUACAAUAGCUUGUCGGAUACAUUUACACUUCAAUUCUCUUGCCUUUCCAAUGCAAAAAUAUGGGUUUUGAAGUUACUUACCAAUAUGUCAUGACAACAUGCAGUUCGUCCAACAUCGGCUAAUAUGACAAUCUCCGCAAAAGGCAUGAUUCUAACUACAAGAACCAAAUAUUUUACUGUUUUUAAAAUCAGUCAUUUUUUCACAUUUACCAUCCUUGCUCGUACAAGUCUCAUAAUGUAUUACACACAUCCAUAACAUCAUGGAAUUAUCCCUUCAUAUUCUUUUAUUCUCCACAACUUCAUUACGGCUUUUAUUCACCCCUUUCUUGAACUAUGCUUUAUUUCGUUCCUCAAGCAUUUUACAAUCUUUCCUCACCACGUCAAGAAAAUUCUCAACAAAUACCAUCUGAGUUCUACAUCAAAGACACUUGUGCAAAUCAUUAUUCUCCAAGUCCGUGGUUCGAUUCAUAUCCCUAUAUUACAAUAUAUUUUUAUUCUACAUAAUUUUAGAAACAUUUUCUUCAAAAAAAUUACAAAUAUUUCUCCAACAAACCUGCUAAUUAUUCCAAGUCCAAACUUAAUUAAAAAUAUUUUUUACAUUAGCUCAACAUAUCAGAUAUUUUCUGACAUUUCUCUUCACGUCAAUAAUUUUGUCCACACAAUACAUUCCAGUUUCAUUAGUAAUGACAAUGAUUCCUCGUUAGUAUCACAUGAUUCAAUAUUAUUCCGCAUCAAAUGAAUUAUUAAUUGAAAUUAAUAUCAAAACUUCUUAUCUCGGAAUGUUGUCUAUUGCUAAAGAAAUUCUCCUACAUCUUUGGAAUGGACAUUUUUACCAAAGAUUUGUUAGGGAGUGUUUAUUUUUCUUCAGUGCACUUGCUAGGCUCUAUGGUGUAAGGGCAACUAUAUGCGUCCAUUCAAACAUCCAAAGACACGUCUGGACAUGUCCACUCACAGCGGAUAGGAGGAUGACCAUCCAACCCAAUGCACGAAACGUUCGCCUCUGUUCCUUUUUUCUAUAUCUGAAGCACUCAAAAUAAUUAAAGAUAAAUUUCAUCUUCGUUCAUAAUAAUGUCUUGCAAAUAUUCCAAUGCAAGAGUAAUCCAUUUAUAAAGAUUACAAUCCAAAUAUGAAGUUUUUCAAGUUAUUUGGACGCCUUGGAGAUGGGAUGCCAAGUGCACGGCUUGCCAUGCAAAUACUUGGAUCUUCCGCUCAGCCUUAGGAAGGUCACAACAUCUCAGUUACAAUUCGUGAUCGACAAGAUGGUAAAUCGUUUGCCUGCAUGGAAAGCUUGACUUCUCUAUCGUGCUCAAAGACCGGAGCUGGACAUUCCUGUCAAAGUGCUAGAUGCUGCCAACAAGAUCUGUCGUGGGUUUCUAUGGAAGGGACGCUGAGACGUGCAUGAAGGGCACUGCCUCGUGGGAUGGAAGCAGGUCUGUGCGCCGAAAGAAUACGGUGGCCUAGGGGUACCCAAUCUUCACUUCCUUAAUCUAGCACUCAGGGGCGAGAUGGCCAUGGCUGGCGAGGACUGAUCCCUCUAGGCACUGGGGAGAGUUCAAUUUGGAGGUGGCCCCCGACUCCUUGGCAAUCUACGAGGUUGCGACGAAGUGCACUCUUGGGGACGGGGCAGACGCCCUGUUUUGGUUGGAUUGGUGGUUGGAACAAGGAAGAAUCCAAGAUAUGUUGCCGAACCUGUUCAAAGCCGUUAAGAAGGCUGCCACAAAACCACAGUGCAACAAGGCCUGAAUGCCGGAUGGUGGCGAGACGUCUCUCCAAAUAUGGCAGCACCAACGCUCCAUGAGUUCCUUCUCCCGAUGGAUAUAACUGGCCAUGUUGAGCUCAUGGCAGGCUCGAAAGACAAUAUCGCAUGGCUGUGGGAGAGUAAUAGCAACUUCUCCGCCAAAAUCAGCCUACUUGGCCUUCUUCGCUGGAAAGGUCAAGGCCGCCUCAGCAGACCAAAUUUGGAGAUCGCGUGCGCCGGGAUUUGCCAAGUUCUUUGGAUGGCUCGUGGUAAGGAAUCACUGUUGGACGGCUGAUAGACUCCAGAGGCGGCUGCUGCCUCAUCCGUCCACGUGCCUGAUCUGCGACCAAGAGCAGGAAACCAUCAAUCAUAUAACGCUUGGUUGCGUCCUCGCCAUGGAGGUAUGGGCGGCAAUCACAGAUAACUGGGCCCAGCCGGAAUGGAUGCCGCAAGUAGGCUCUAAGCUAGUGGACUGGUGGACGUCGCUAAAUCCUAAAAGAAAGCUAAGGAAGGAAGUGUGAACGGUUAUAACUCUCGUGGCAUGGAUGUUGUGGAAGCACAUGAAUGACAUCGUCUUCAAUAACGCUUCGCCGUCGGCCACCAACAUGCUCAGGAGGAUAGAUAUGGAGGGACAAGCUUGGAGGAAUGCGAGGCUAUUGAGGGUAGAGAGAUCGCUUCCGGUAAGGAUAGAACGGCUGGAUAAUGGGGAGUAGUUGGCAUGCGGCUCUUGGGCAUUCUAUGUCGUGGAUGUAAUUGUUGUUAACUCUAUGCCGUCACCUUCUAUCUAUGGGCUCGAUACGUUCAUUGACGUAUCCUUGAAAAAACUUAUUCGGAAGUGUUGUUUUAGUUCUUCACUCGAACCUUGAAAAAACUUAUUCGGAAGUGUUGUUUUAGUUCUUCACUCGAACCGCCCACAAAUGCUCAACCCAAUCAUUUUGAAAUUGCUCACAAGUUGCUCAACCAAAUCAUUUUGAAAUUGCUCACAAGUUGCUCGAUAACAAAUUAUGUUGAUGCAUUUCUUCAAACAUCACUGGAUUCUGCUCUGGAAGUUAGAUAUCAUCCAUCUGCUCAAAUUUCAGACUGUGAUGAACUCCAUCAUCUCAUCAUCCACAAUCAUAUUGUUCAUGGGCACACAAACAAUCAUCUUUGAAUCCCAUUUUAGGAACGUCUCUGCAUUUUACUUAUCUUGCCCUUGGACUAACUGCCUUAGACUUAGGCAUCAAUAGCGAUUACAAUCUUAUCUUUUAGAAAUAAAUAUCGACAAAGCUGCAGCUGUCAUAUUAUGAAAUGCUGUCUAUAAAUACAUAAAAAUGGAACAGAUAAGAUGGACAAGGUUUGAAACUUAACACCUAUAUCCUAUUACCAGAUAAAAUACAUCACCCUCACCCAUGUACUGAGACUCUGAGAGAGCACACCAAAGACACUAUGUACAACCGGAUCAACCGCUAUACCUACACGAUAUUUACAGCAAAAUUCACUCCCAGUCCUGAGCAGUAACAACAGAACGGGAUACUAUAACAAGACUGGAUGAACUAAUCUUAUCAUUCUUAUGUGACCUAGACUUGGCUGAAAUACCAUUCAAAUGGUACCUGACCCAAGGCUUAAGAAGAAAAAUCUUGCAACGAUAAAAAACUCUACUAGCCCAGCAUCUGCAGAAGCGAAGAACGGUUUUUAGGGUUCAGCCAGCCCAUGGGACCUCCUCGCGUCGCUGGCUGAUGAAUAUCGGCUUCUCGUCUUUGAAGUGCUCUCAGAAACUCCCCUGAGCUCAGGUGCCCAUCAUUGUUCGUGUCAAACACAUGGAAAAUGAUGUCCACCACUCUGUCAGUUAAUUCAACACCACAGACCUAUAAUGAACCGGAAAAGGCAUGAAAUCAGUCAAAAAAUAUGUUGUGGGGUAAAUGAUUGAACAGACUGAAGACGCCUAGAAGUCAGGUAAUAAUCUAAACGCUUAAGUAACAAGUUUGGUACAAAAUUUUACAUGCUGUGCUGCACGCUUCAGAUCCUGCUUUGUCAAUUGCCCAUUUACUUGACCAUAAGCAAAUAUAGCCAUCGUCAAUGAUUCCAAUCUUCGACGUAAAUCCGCAAAUGCCUUAAACUCCUAAAGCCCAAGAAAAUACAUCUAUAAGAACCACAUGAAAAAUAAUUACGCAGAAAAGACCAAACAUGACAGCAAGUCAAACCUCAAACGUAAUGCGUANNNNNNNNNNNNNNNNNNNNNNNNNNNNNNNNNNNNNNNNNNNNNNNNNNNNNNNNNNNNNNNNNNNNNNNNNNNNNNNNNNNNNNNNNNNNNNNNNNNNCACACGUACAGCUCGACGAUGAUCUCGGCCUUCUUGAUCCAGCAAGAGAGACGGAGAGGUAGAUGAGUUCUCCGGCAGCGUGACGGCGCUCCGGAGGUUGGUGGUGAUCUUAUCUCAGCAGGGCUCCGCCCGAGCUCCGCAGAAACGCGAUCUAGAGGUAAAACCGUGGAGAUAUGUGGUCGGGCUGCCGUGGCAAAGUUGUCUCAAAUCAGCCCUAAAACCUAAGUAUAUAUAGGUGGGAGAGGGGGAACCUUGCCUUGGGGAUCAAGGACCCCCAAGGGGGUCCGCCGAGCCAAAGGGGGGAAGGUCUCCCCUUCAAAACAGAAUCCAACUUGGUUUGGAAGGUGGAGUCCUUCUUCCCUUUCCCACCUCCUCCUUUUUUUUCCUUUUCUCUUUGAUUUUCUUCCUAUGGUGCAUAGGGCCUUCCCGGGCUGUCCCACCAGCCCACUAAGGGCUUGUGCGCCACCCCCAAGGCCUAUGGGCUUCCCCGGGGUGGGUUGCCCCCCCCCCCCNNNNNNNNNNNNNNNNNNNNNNNNNNNNNNNNNNNNNNNNNNNNNNNNNNNNNNNNNNNNNNNNNNNNNNNNNNNNNNNNNNNNNNNNNNNNNNNNNNNNGGGGGGGGCAACCCACCCCGGGGAAGCCCAUAGGCCUUGGGGGUGGCGCACAAGCCCUUAGUGGGCUGGUGGGACAGCCCGGGAAGGCCCUAUGCACCAUAGGAAGAAAAUCAAAGAGAAAAGGAAAAAAAAGGAGGAGGUGGGAAAGGGAAGAAGGACUCCACCUUCCAAACCAAGUUGGAUUCAGUUUAGAAGGGGAGACCUUCCCCCCUUUGGCUCGGCCGACCCCCUUGGGGAUCCUUGAUCCCCAAGGCAAGGUUCCCCCUCUCCCACCUAUAUAUACAAAGGUUUUAGGGCUGAUUUGAGACAACUUUGCCACGGCAGCCCGACCACNNNNNNNNNNGGUUUGGAAGGGGAGACCUUCCCCCCUUUGGCUCGGCUGACCCCCUUGGGGCUCCUUGAUCCCCAAGGCAAGGUUCCCCCUCUCCCACCUAUAUAUACGGAGGUUUUAGGGCUGAUUUGAGACAACUUUGCCACGGCAGCCCGACCACAUAUCUCCACGGUUUUACCUCUAGAUCGCGUUUCUGCGGAGCUCGGGCGGAGCCCUGCUGAGAUAAGAUCACCACCAACCUCCGGAGCGCCGUCACGCUGCCGGAGAACUCAUCUACCUCUCCGUCUCUCUUGCUGGAUCAAGAAGGCCGAGAUCAUCGUNNNNNNNNNNAUCCGUUCGGCACUAGAUCGUGGGACUGAUCGCGGGACGGUUCGCGGGGCGGAUCGAGGGACGUGAGGACGGUCCACUACAUCAACCGCGUUCACUAACGCUUGUGCUGUGCGAUCUACAAGGGUACGUAUAUCGAAUAUCCCCUCUCAUAGAUGGACAUCACCAUGAUAGGUCUUCGUGCGCGUAGGAAAUUUUUUNNNNNNNNNNNNNNNNNNNNNNNNNNNNNNNNNNNNNNNNNNNNNNNNNNNNNNNNNNNNNNNNNNNNNNNNNNNNNNNNNNNNNNNNNNNNNNNNNNNNUUUCAACCGAUUGUAGUCCCAUGAUCCAGUAUCAUCACAUAGCCUAUACCAUGUAAACGCCUUAUCCUUCAAAGAUAAAGGAAAUACCUUCUUCUUGACCUCAUCCUCGGGCACACCUGCAAGCUUAAAUAAACCACAAACUUCAUCUACAUAGAUCAGAUGCAAGUCUGGAUGUGAUGUUCCAUCUCCUGUAAAUGGAUUAGCCAGCAGUUUCUCAAGCAUACCCGAAGGAAAUUCAAAGCAAAUAUUUUCAGUAGGUGCAGCAACUUGAGGAGCAACUCUUUGUGCUUCCGUUCGAGGUGAAGAUACCCCGAACAAGCCCCUCAAAGGAUUAGUAUCCAUAGUGACAAGUGACAACAAAUUUCAGCACACUAUAUGAAUGUUUCCUUACCAAGUUCCACUUACCAAAGGCGCUUCACUCCCCGGCAACGGCGCCAGAAAAGAGUCUUGAUGACCCACAAGUAUAGGGGAUCAAUCGUAGUCCUUUCGAUAAGUAAGAGUGUCGAACCCAACGANNNNNNNNNNAGAAGAAUUUGACAAGUGGUUUUCAGCAAGGUAAAAUCUGCACGCACUGAAAUUGUCGGUAACAAGUGAUUGUGUGGUGAGAUGAUUCGUAGCAAGCAACAAGUAACAAAAGUAGCAAUGGUGUAGAAAAGUGGCCCAAUACCUUUUGUAGCAAGGGACAAGCCUGGACAAAGUCUUAUAGGAGGAAAAACGCUCCCGAGGACACACGGGAAUUUCUGUCAUGCUAGUUUUCAUCAUGUUCAUUUGAUUCGCGUUCGUUACUUUGAUAGUUUGAUAUGUGGGUGGACCGGCGCUUGGGUACUGACCUUACUUGGACAAGCAUCCCACUUAUGAUUAACCCCUCUCGCAAGCAUCCGCAACUACGAAAGAAGAAUUAAGACAAAGUCUAACCAUAGCAUUNNNNNNNNNNUUAGCAAUGGUGCAGCAAAGUGGCCCAAUCCCUUUUGUAGCAAGGGACAAGCCUGGAUAAAGUCUUAUAGGAGGAAAAACGCUCCCGAGGACACACGGGAAUUUUUGUCAUGCUAGUUUUCAUCAUGUUCAUUUGGUUCGCGUUCAUUACUUUGAUAGUUUGAUAUGUGGGUGGACCGGCGCUUGGGUACUGCCCUUACUUGGACAAGCAUCCCACUUAUGAUUAACCCCUCUCGNNNNNNNNNNNNNNNNNNNNNNNNNNNNNNNNNNNNNNNNNNNNNNNNNNNNNNNNNNNNNNNNNNNNNNNNNNNNNNNNNNNNNNNNNNNNNNNNNNNNCCCAUGGUGCCCCUUUGGCACUUCUUCGGCCCAAUAUUUUUGAUAAAUCGGGAAAAAAUUCCUCGUUGAUUUUUACGGCGUUUGGAGCUGCGCAGAAUAGGUAUCUCAAGCUUGCUCCACUUUCAGGCCAGAAUUCCAGUUGCCGGUAUUCUCCCUCUUCAUGUAAACCUUGCAAAAUAAGAGAGAAAAGGCAUAAGAAUUGUACCGUGAAGUGAAAUAAUAGCCCAAGAAGCGAUAAGUAUCAACAUGAAAACAUGAUGCAAAAUGGGCGUAUCAGGGAGCGGUACUACCGCUCAGGCAGAGGGAGGUCGAGCCAGAAAAGGGGCAGGGCUGCUAGCUAGUACCGCUCGGAGUGGUAGUAACAAGUGGUACUACUGCCCCGCAGGCGGUACUACCGCCGAGUACUACCGUAAAGUCCGACCACAAAAAUGUUCGCACUUCUAAGCAGCGGUACAGACCAGCGGUACCAGCAGAGCACUACCGCUCUGAGCGGUACUACCACCGGCCCGGGUGGUUCAACCGGUGAUAAGAGGUAGUACCGCUCGUGGGAGCGGUACUACCGCUUGGAACAGAGAACCUGCCCAGAACUGCCAUAACUUUCGGAUACGAGCUCCGAAUUAAGCAAACUCAAGCUUGUUGGAUUCAGGAUGAACAUGCAGUUAAGAAAAUGCCAAUGAUAUAGAGGUGUGAAAACUCUAUGAAUGAAGAACCGACAAAAACACCAACAUCUAAAACAUCAUAGAAGAUGCACAUGAACUCCGUUUUCGAUGAAUUCGAGCUUGCCAUAAAGAUGGCCAUAAGCUCUAAAACUCACAAAGAGAACCACCAAACAAGAACCAAGAAAGAUGAUGCAAGGAUGCAAAUGGUUUGAGCUCUCAAUGAACGAUACAGUCUAGCUACUCACUUGAGAGCCCCCCUUGACAGUACGACAAUCUAUCCUAAAAUAGAAAUCCUAUCAAGGACAAACCUAUACCUUGCACAUAGUCCACUUGAGCUAGAUGAUGACGAUCUUGACUNNNNNNNNNNUGGACCACCUUUCUUGAUUGCGCUGGCUCGAUGAAGACUUGUAAAUUUCUCCCCCAUACUCCACUAUGGGCGAGCCACUCUUCAGCACAUCUUCACAAGUCCAUUGCCACCACAAUGGAGGGCAAGCUUCGAGCAAGAUAUCUUCUUGAUGCUCCAUUUGAACUUGUACACCGCAAUCUUGAUGAAGAUCACCACUUGACAUCAUCCUCCAUGGGUUGUAUGAGAUCUUCUUCUUGACUCAAGCCCAUGGAAACACACCUAACCCCACAUAGAACUCUCACGAAGACCAUGGGUUAGUACACAAAAGUGUAAUGGCCAAUGCUUACCAUACCAUGGGAUCACUAAAUCCCUCUCGGCACAUCUUGUACGCUUUGUGUGUUGAUCAACUUGAUUUACUCCUUGACUUAGUCUUGAUCAACCUUGUGUCUUUAUGACCAUUCUAUGGAUAAUACCUUGAAUACCACCUUGAUCAUCAUAUAAACUCCUUGAAACCAACAUAUGGACUUCAAGAAGUUCCUAUGGACAAAUCCUUUGAAUAUAACUUAAGGCAGCCAUUAGUCCAGAGGGAUUGUCAUAAAUUACCAAAACCACAUAUAGAGAAAUAUGCUCUAACACCACCCUAUACGGAGGAGAAGAAGGUACGCUCUACAUCCAUUGAUUUUACUGGCUAUGCUCUGAUUUGGCAGGACCAACUGUGUUGUGCUGGCGGUCGUCCAAAGGCUUGGGUGCAAAUGAGGAUUCUGAUCCAAAGACGCUUUGUUCCUGAAUACUUCAUAAGAACCUUAUAUAAUCGAAUGCAACAACUAACACAAGGAACUAUAGUGUUGAUGAGUAUUAUAAGGAAACGAAGAUUCUAAUGAUUAGUACAUGGGUGAAUGAGAAAUAGGAGGCCACAAUGUUAAGAUUCUUUGGUGGCCAAUGAACAUAUGCAAGAAAGAAAGAGAUGGUUCCAUAUUAGGACUUGCAAGAACUUGUGCAUCAAGUUGUUUGUUCUAAUCAAUAGUUCAAUUGUCGCCAAGCCUACAGCCACACCUAAACAUCAAGCACUCAGAUAAGUUCAACUCAUUAGGAAGUGAUGAAGCAUUAUUACAGAUUUGUCCUCACACAAGAAGACAACCAGAAAAGAAGCUACUUCAUAAAAUGUUGAAUCUUCCUAUAUACUCGUACCACUCACGUUAGAGUCAUACAUGCGGCAGUAGAGGACAUUUCAAGAAGGGUUAUCCCAAUUUAAAGAUGGUGUUGCUCACAAAGGAUGGACACAUGACCGAUGACUCAAGUGAUAAAUCUGAAUUUGAGAUUUUUUUUGCAAAGUAUUGUACUUUUUGAGGCUGGGGCACCCCUAUGUUCACAUGGAGUUGUCUUUAAUCUCAUGGUUCAAAAAACUACAAUGUAGUCAUCGAUGGUUGCAACUAGAACAACAUCAUUAGUACUCAUCACGUGCUUGCUCUUGGAUAUCAACAUGGAGACAACCCCAGUCAUAUUAUGUGAAAUGUUGAAUGGUGUUGGUAAGAUAAAAUUACACAUGGUGUGAGGGUGCCAUUUUCAACGGGAAGUUAUGUCGACAAGGUGGUAUGUUAUGUGUUGUCAAUGCAAGCUUGUCAUAUUCUUUUGAGAAGGAUGUAGUGAUUUCAUCACGAUGCUACUCACCAUGAAAGUUCUAACAAGUAUUCCUUUACACAUCAAGGAGUGAACCGGGUACUCGAGCCUACGGUGGAUCAGACAACAAUGUUGAGCAAUUCCCUCAUAUGAAGAAGUCAAUAUGAGAUACCUCAAAACCGAGGAUUGUUUUGUUAGAAGAAAGAUAUGCUGAUAUGGACUAGUUCAUGACCAAUGCAUCGACGUGUAAGUUAAACCAGUGGAGAGGCUAAACAAAUACACAUGGGAUAAUUAAAUGUGUUGGAAAGCUUCUCAUGCAUAUGUUGGAGAAAUGACACAUCAGAUUUCAAAAUGAAAUCUCCCACCUAAAUUAAAUUACUUAUGUAAGGGUCUAGGUCAUCUUAGGGGUUGGAUGAGAUGACAUUUGAAGUCAUCUUUCAUGCAGACCAAAUAAUGAAUGAUUUGAGGCCGCGAGUCAAAAGUUAUGCAAGUUCCCUUGCAACUUGUCCACGAGACUCCACAAGUUUUUUGCUGCUACAAUUUGAGACUUAUGAAUUUAUACUUCAUAUUUAGUUGUGUUCACAUCUAAGUGGUAGGUUCUUGUAGUAUACGUACUCCUCGAUAGUUCCAUCUGAAGGGAGCUUGAGAUUUCAGAGUUUAAGUUUGCAGACAUCCGGUGAAGUCGAUGUGUUAUGAUGUGAGCACUAGUUUAGUUGAAUUGAUACUCUUGUUCUUAGCUCUUGUGUGUGGAUUGAAGGACAUGUCCUUAAUUCAUAUGAGAUCCUUGUGAUUUCAUCUUAUGAUUUAGUUGUUUAUGAUUGUGGGUUCAGAUCGGUGGCGGCGGAGUGGAGGGCCUGGUGGAUAGCUCGGCGGCAUCCGUGGUAUGGCCUUCGGUUAGAUUAGAUUUGGCUGAUGCGGUAUGUGCACUGCACGGCGGCAGAGACUAGUGGUGGUUGGUGCACACGUUGCUAGAUGGAGGUUUGCCGAGCAUAUUCGGGGUGAAAACCUUGCUCUCAGUUAGUUGCCAAGGCUAGCGAUGGCGACGCUCUUCCGUGUCAUCCCCUUCAUAAAAGCAUAGCCGUGGAGAAGCUCCACACUUGUAUCUGUUACCUCCUAGGGAAAUCACAGAUCAUUUGAUUGGAUGACAAUGAUGCACCUGUGUCGUUUCCCCCUGGAGGCGUCAAUCUAGGAGAUGCACAUUGGCUUGAGGGAUCAGUGGAUGACUGCUACCUCUUGAGCUUGCGUUGGUUUUUCCCUUGAAGAGGAAAGGGUGAUGCAACACAGUAGCAGUAAGUAUUUCCCUCAGUUUGAGAACCAAGGUAUCAAUCCAGUAGGAGUAUCAAGCCAAGUCUCCAAAGUACCUGCGCAAAAACAUCAAACUUGCACCCAACGCGACAAAAGGGGUUGUCAAUCCCUUCACGAUUGAUUGCAAGGUGAUAUCUGAAGGUGGAAAGUGCAAUAAAGUAAAAGUGUAGGGCUGAAAAUAAGAUGUGAAGUAGACCCGGGGGCCAUAGUGUUCACUAGAGGCUUCUCUCAUGAUAGCAAAUAUUACGGUGGGUGAACGAAUUACUGUCGAGCAAUUGAUAGAACCGCGCAAAGUCAGGACAAUAUCUAAGGCAAUGAUCAUACAUAUAGGCAUCACGUCCGAGACAAGUAGACCGAUACUUUCUUCAUCUACUACUAUUACUCCACACAUCGACCGCUAUCCAGCAUGCAUCUAGUGUAUUGAGUUCAUAACAAACAGAGUAACGCCUUAAGCAAGAUGACAUGAUGUAGAGGGAUAAAUUCAUGCAAUAGAUAUAAACCCAUCUUUUUACCCUUGAUGGCAACAACACGAUGCGUGCCUCGCUACCCCUUCUGUCACUAGGUGAGGACACCGCAUGGUAUGAACCCAAAACCAAGCACUUCUCCCAAUGCAAGAACUAUAGAUCAAGUUGGCCAAACGAAACCCACAACUCGAAGAGAAUUACAAGGAUACGAAAUCAUGCAUAUAAGAGAUCAGAAGAAACUUAAAUAAGAUUCAUAGAUAAUCUUAUCAUAAAUCCACAAUUCAUCGAAUCUCGACAAACACACCGCAAAAGAAGAUUACAUUGGAUAGAUCUCCAUGAAGAUCAUGGAGAACUCUGUAUUGAAGAUCCAAGAGAGAAGAAGACAUCUAGCUACUAGCUAUGGACCCGAAGGUCUAUGGUAAACUACUCACGCAUCAUCGGAGAGGCAAUGGUGUUGAGGAAGAAGCCCUCCGUGUCCGAAUCCCCCCUCCGGCAGGGCACCAGAACGUGCCCCAGAUGAGAUCUUGCGGAGACAGAAGCUUGCGGCGGUGGAAAAGUAUUUUUGUGGAUCCCUUCCGUGGUUUCAGAUUUUUCGGGGAUUUGUAGGCGGAAAAAGUAGGGCAAGGGAGCCACGGGGGGGCCCACAAGCCUGCUAGGCGCGCCCCCCCAGGCCACGGCUAGGGGGCUUGUGGCCUCCCCCGGGACCCUUUGCCUUUGUUCUCAAGCUUCCUACGUAUCUUCUGUUCCGGAAAAAAAUCUUUUCAGAGGUUUUAUUCUGUUUGGACUCCGUUUGAUAUUCUCCUCUGAAAAAGGUCAAAAACACGGAAAAAACAGGAACUGGCACUUGGCACUGAGUUAAUAAGUUAGUCCCAAAAAAGAUAUAAAAUGCAUACAAAACAUCCAAAGUUUGACAAGAUAAUAGCAUGGAACCAUCAAAAAUUAUAGAUACGUUGGAGACGUAUCAAUGACUUCAACGGUGCAGCGGCAUUUCAGAUGACACAUCGAUGAUGUGGAGUCUCGGUGACGUGCCAUAGUAGGGUCUCAACGGUGGAUGUGUAAUGAUGGACAGGCAUAGGAAUGUGGUGUCGACGGUAGGCCUACCAAGGUGAAUGUGUCAGUACGUGCUCUUAAGAUGGAUCGAUGGAAGACGAUAGCGGCGGCCUCGAGAGCAUGCACAUGAGGUUCACGCUGAGAGUGUGCGAGACCGGUGUGCAAUCCAGAUCCAACAACUGCUUGUUUAGGGCCUCUGACUUUAGGUGUUAUGCUUUGAUGUGAGGUUUGGGUGUUCGUCUGCACCUGUUCAUCAAAUGGAUAAGAAUAGCUACGGAUGUUGCUAGGAUGACGGCUUUCGACUUAUUGAUAUAUCACUUUGUAAUGUCUUUAUGAGUAAUUAAUAAAAUGAUUACCACCCAGAUGUGGAAGCCGGGGGUGAUCCUCCUUUUGAAAAAGGAUCCUUGUGACAUCUUAUGAUUGUUUGGUACCAAGAAAUAUAUUUGAGAAUUUUCCACUUGAGAGAGUUGCUUGCUGCUCUUUGUUGGUUGUUUGUGUUCAGAUUAAAUUACAAAUCUAAUUAUGGAAAUCUCCCCUUGCCCAACCGUUAGGCGGUUGCCUCGUGUCGGUGUCAAAAUCGGUGGAUCUCGGGUAGGGGGUCCCGAGCUGUGGAUCUUAUAUUUAUGUGUGACAAUUACAGAGUCGAUCUACCAUGACAUUAGAUGAACUAAACCGUAGAUAAGUAGGAUCAUGGUCCCCCUCUAUGAACUAAACCCUACAGUUUAUAUGGACACCAGGGGUACCUAGGGUUACACAUGGUCGGCUUCCAAUAAGCAUGUCGAUUCUACCAUAUUGACUUGGAGGACACACCAAGCCACCAGAGGUUUCCUUCCUGAACACGGAGUUGCCUUAUAGCUCGGCCUUCGAGUAAUAGUCACACAGCGGUCCACCUGUCCGGCCCAUAAGAUAUAAACCGGUGGCCCGGGGACCCCUUAGUCUAGGACUCCCUUCGUAGCCCCCGAACUAGUCUCCAAUGUCGGGGUCUAGAUCCCUAGCAGCUUCACGCGCCCAAAGUCUCCGGCUUGCGGGGCGAGUUCUUCUCCCCUUCUAUGUUCGGCCAAUACUAGUUUGGCCACUGAUGACUUCCCAAUUUCUAAAAGGCAUGUAUUACUUAUCCUCGAAGGCCAACCGCUCGAGUGUGAACAAUGCCUUCGUGUGACAACUUUUAGAGAAAGGUCAUGGUCGGUCACGACCACUAACCAGUUAUGAAAGCUCGAUUCACGAUUCGAGGUAGUUCCUCCAUUGGCAUGUUCCAUCAAUAUGGAGACUGUUCCCCAUUUUUUUAGGGAUAUAAUCAAUGAUUUGGGCUACCUCACACGUGAGUAACUGCACGAUGAUAUCGGGAAGUGGCGAGGUCUGCGGCGCAGUAAAGGGGCUCUUGGUAUUACGACAACUUAUAAAAGGGAAACAACCUCCAUACGCUUCUGAGAUCCCCCAUUGUCAUCGACUUCCCAAUCUAUUGAGCUCUAAGCGCCCAGAUCCAUCCCUCUCUAAAAUCUCAUUAGGCCACUCCCCCAGUUCGGCCAUGGCUGGUUCUGGUUCCAAGGGAAAGUGGGAGGCCUCCAGCAUCACCAACAACGACAUCGAGGAGUUGAAGUGCAUCGGCUAUCUUUCGGUUAACGUAGUCCGCCACGCUCCAGAGGAGGGCCACUUCAUCCCCACUCCGAGGCAAGGCGAGAGAAUGUGUGAUGACCCACACAUAUAAGGGAUCAAUCGUAGUCCUUUCGAUAAGUAAGAGUGUCGAACCCAACGAGGAGCGGAAGGAAAUGACAAGCGGUUUUCAGCAAGGAAUUCUGUGCACGUGCUGAAAAUGAGAGGAAGAAGGGAAGAAGAACACGAAGAACUCCACGAUCUAGAUCCAAGGGGUUCCCCUCACAAAGAGGAGAAAGUGAUUGGUGGAAAUGUGGAUCAAGAUCUCCUCUCUCUUUUCCCUCAAGAACUAGCAAGAACCAUUGGAGGAAUUGAGAGUUAGCAAGCUCAAAUAAGGUCAACAAUGGGUGGAAAAUACGAGCUCAAGAGUUAGAGACCAUUGGGGAAGAAGACCCCCUUAAAUAGGUCCCUCCAAAUACAACCGUUAUGCACUCAGCCUGUGCACAUGCGGUAGUACUGCUCACGAGAGCGGUAGUUCCGCUAGAAUGGAAGUUUUAAAAAAAUACGAGCAAAUGGCAGAAAUCACAAGGUGGUUGUGCCGCCGGAGUGGUAUUACUACUCCUGCAAGCGGUACUUCCACUUAGCAUUGACAAACACCCAUGUCGAGUAAGAAAGAGGGGAACAAUACAGUAGUGCCGCCCAGAGCGGUAUUUCCGCUAAGAACUGCCGCUCAAAAAUCCACUCGAAACAGAAUUGAAAAAAAUGAAAAUGUAAGCGAAAGCGGCAGUGGUAGUACACAUCGGAAGUACCGCCCAAGCGGUACUACCACCUGUUUAGAGAAAAACAGCUCUCGCACAUAAACUGCCAUAACUUUCGUGUAUGAGCUCCGAAUUGAGCAAACUCAAGCUUGUUGAAUAGCACAUGACAAGUACUAUCCAAACAGUGACGUGAAACCCCUAUGAAUGAAGAACCGGCAAAAACUCCAACAUCAAAAACAUCAUAGAAGAUGCAUAUGGACUCAGUUUCCGAUGAACUCGAGUUUGUCAUGAAGAUGACCAUAGGAUCAAGAACUCACAAAGAGAAUCACCAAACAAGAACCAAGAAAGAUGAUGCAAGGAUGCAAAUGGUUUGAGCUCUCAACGAACGAUACGAUCAAGCUACUCACUUGAGAGCCCCCGUUGAAAGAAUGGCAAGCUAUCCUAUAACAUAGUCUCCUAACUACCACCCUGAGACUGGUAAAAUAGAAAACCUAUCAAGGGCAAGCAUAUACCUUGCACAUAGUCCACUUGAGCUAGAUGAUGACGAUCUUGACUUCCUCAAGACAGACCACCUUUCUUGAUUGCGUUGGCUUGAUGAAGACUAGUUGAUUGCUCCCCCAUACUCACUAUGGGUGAGCCACUCUUCAUCACAUCUUCACAAGUCCAUUACCACCACAAUGGACGGCAAGCUUCAAGCAUGAUAUCUUCGUGAAGCUCCACUUGAACUUGCACACCGCAAUCUUGAUGACGAUCACCACUUGAUGUCAUCCUCCAUGGGUCUUAUGAGAUCUUCCUCUUGACGCAAGCCCAUGGAAACACACAUAAACCCACAUAGAACUCUCACAGAUACCAUGGGUUAGUACACAAGGCGUGAUGGACAAUGCUUACCAUACCAUGGGAUCACUUGAUCCCUCUCGGUACAUCUUGUACGCUUUGUGUGUUGAUCAACUUAAUUCACUCUUUGACUUAGUCUUGAUCAACCGUGUGUAUUUAUGACCAAUCUUUGGAUAAAACCUUGAAUACCACCUUGGUCAUCAUAUAAACUCCUUGAAACCAAUAGAUGGACUUCAAGAAGUGCCAAUGGACAAAUCCUACAAAUAUAACUCAAAGCAAACAUUAGUCCAUAGGGAUUGUCAUCAAUUACCAAAACCACAUAUGAAGGAAUAUGCUCUAACACCUUUUCCAUGUGAAGUCAUUACUUUUCAUGAGGUAAGCAUAUGAUCUUUAUAUAUUUUUAUUGCCAUGCUAUGAUGAUGGGUAAAGCACAUAAACUCAACUAAUCUUUAUUGUAUAACUCUCACACUCGAUUACAAGGAUAGAUGGAUCUUAAAGCAAAAAUUCUAAGCAAAGCAAAUCUGAAAUUUUAUUUCUCUAAAUCACAAAAUUGCUAAGGAUCGAACUAAGAUAGAUGGUAAUGAUGGAAGUGAUGGUGAUACAAUAGUGAGGCACCUCCCCCAAGCUUGGAACAAGCUAAGGGUGGGGCCCAUACCCAUGUACUCAUGUGUCCUUCUUGGGUGAUGAUGGUGGUGAUGCGGCAGGUUGGUCUUCUGCCUUCCGAGGCAUUGGCUCACCAUUAUUGAAAGAGAAUCUUGUCUCGAGAAUCCUGAAAUCAGCAGUGAUGCUCAUCCUUUUAAACCUCUUUCAUACUCAUAGUUUUGGCUUUGGGGGUCAAAGAUUUGAGCUUGGAGAUGUUUAAUCCGUUCUUGAAGCUUGAAGAGGGCCUCUACCACGUUCCUGUGAUCCAGCUUGUUCUCCCGGAUGAAGUCCGUGAUCAUAAUGAUUAACACUCAAACCACGUUCAACCAUCCCUUGGCACUUGAAGAUCUCCUGCUCCAUCGUCACAAGCCUGGCCUUCUCGCUUCCCUUCUUCAUUGAUCCUUGCACGUCAUGGAUGUGAAGCACCCCUCAUGCAUAUCAAUGGCCUCAGGGUGCUUCAUCACCUUCGGGAGGUAAGGGUUGAUGACCUUCUCGAAGAACUUAUCCUUGGAGGAGCUUGGUGUUGUCACGGCGAUCUAGAUUUGUCACAAAAACAACCCGAAACAAGAACACAGGAAAAACUCACGAUACGGUGGUCAAAAAAAUUGAGAGUAUAUAUAAUGAAUUUUCAGGUCAGAAUACGUGCUCGAGAAGAAAACGGAGUCCCGAAGGCACACGAGGGCCCCACAAGCCAUCAGGGCGCGGCUGGGGAUGGCCACGCCGUGUUGGCUUGUGCCUCCCUCGUGGGUCCCCCUGACUCCUUUUUAUUUUUGGAAUUUUUCUAAAAUGCCAAAACCAAUAGAACAUAUUUUUUUCGUUUUUUUUAAGUCAAUUUUCUUAUUGUUUCACGUACCUACUCCUUUUUUAGGUUUCUAGUGUUGGAAAUAUGCCCUAGAGGCAAUAAUAAAAUGGUUAUUAUCAUAUUUCCUUGUUCAUGAUAAUCGUCUAUUGUUCAUGCUAUAAUUGUAUUAACAGGAAACAGUAAAACAUGUGUGAAUAAAUAGAUCACAAUGUGUCCCUAGCAAGCCUCUAGUUGGCUAGCUCGUUAGUCAAUAGAUGAUCACGGUUUCCUGGUCAUGGGCAUUAGAUGGCAUUGAUAACGGGAUCACAUCAUUGGGAGAAUGAUGUGAUGGACAAGACCCAAUCCUAAGCGUAGCACUAGAUCGUAUUGUUCGUAUCCUANNNNNNNNNNNNNNNNNNNNNNNNNNNNNNNNNNNNNNNNNNNNNNNNNNNNNNNNNNNNNNNNNNNNNNNNNNNNNNNNNNNNNNNNNNNNNNNNNNNNUAUUACCGAGUGGGCCCCGAGAUACCUCUCCGUCACACGGAGUGACAAAUCCCAGUCUCGAUCUAUACUAACUCAACGAACACCUUCGGAGAUACCUGUAGAGCAUCUUUAUAGUCACCCAGUUACNNNNNNNNNNAAUCCAUACUAACUCAACUAACACCUUCAGAGAUACCUGUAGAGCAUCUUUAUAGUCACCCAGUUACGUUGCGACGUUUGAUACACACAAAGCAUUCCUCUGGUGUCAUUGAGUUAUAUGAUCUCAUGGUCAUAGGAACAAAUACUUGACACGCAGAAAACGGUAGCAACAAAAUGACACGAUAAACAUGCUACGUCUAUUAGUUUGGGUCUAGUCCAUCACGUGAUUCUCCUAAUGACGUGAUCCAGUUAUCAAGCAACAACACCUUGUUCAUAAUCAGAAGACCCUGACUAUCUUUGAUCAACUGGNNNNNNNNNNGCAUCACGUGAUUCUCCUAAUGACGUGAUCCAGAUAUCAAGCAAAAACACCUUGUUCAUAAUCAGAAGACCCUGACUAUCUUUGAUCAACUGGCUAGCCAACUAGAGGCUUGCUAGGGACAGUGUUUUGUCUAUGUAUCCACACAUGUAUAUAAGUCUUCAUUCAAUACAAUUAUAGCAUGGAUAAUAAACGAUUAUCAUGAACUAAGAAAUAUAAUAAUAACUAAUUUAUUAUUGCCUCUAGGGCAUAUUUCCAACAGUCUCCCACUGAAACUAUUCUCAACUCACGUGAUGAUCGGACUUGAGUUAGUGAAUUUGGAUCAUGUUCCACUCAAAUGACUAGAGAGAUGUAUUUUUUGAGUGGGAGUUCUUAAGUAAUAUGAUUAAUUGAACUAAUUAUCAUGAACAUAGUCAAAAGGUCUUUGUGAAUUAUGAUGUAGCUUGCGCUAUAGCUCUACUGUUUUUUAUAUGUUCCUAGAGAAAAUUUAGUUGAAAGAUGAUAGUAGCAACUUUGUGGACUGAGUCCGUAAAACUGAGGAUUGUCCUCAUUGGUGCGCAGAAGGCUUAUGUCCUUAAUGCACCACUCGGUGUGCUGCACCUCGAGCGUCGUCUGUGGAUGUUGUGAACAUCUGACAUACACGUUUCUGAUGACUACGCGAUAGUUCAGUGCGUAAUACUUAAUGGCUUAGAAGCAAGGCGCCGAAGACGUUUUGAAACGUCACAGAACAUGAGAGAUGUUCUAAGAGAUGAAAUUGAGAUUUCAUGCUCGUGCCCUUGUGAGAGGUAUGAGACCUCUGACAAGAUUCUUUGUCUACAAAGUAAAGGAGAAAAGCUCAAUCGUUGAGCGUGUCCUCAGAUUGUCUGAAUACAACAAUCGCUUGAAUCAAGUGGGAGUUAAUCUUCCACAUGAGAUAGUGAUGGUUCUCCAAAGUCACUGCCACCAAGCUGUGAGAGCUUCCUGAUGAACUAUAACACAUCAAGGAUAGAUACAAUGAUCCUUGAGCGAUUCGCGAUGUUUGACACUGCGAAAGUAGAAAUCAAAAAGGAGCAUCAAUAGUUGAUGGUAAGUAAAACCACUAAGUUUCAAGAAAGGCAAGGGCUAGAAGGGAUACUUUGUGAAAUGGCAAAACAGUUGCUGCACUAAUGAAGAGACCCAAGAUUAAACCCAAACCCGAGACUAAGUGCUUCUGUAAUGAGGGGAACAGUCACUGAGGCGGAGCAACUCUAGAUACUUGGUAGAUAAGAAGGCUGGCAAAAGUCGAAAGAAGUAUAUUUGAUAUACAUGAUGUUGAUGUGUACUUUACUGGUACUCCUAGUAGCACGAGGGUAUUGGAUACCUGUUCGGUUGCUAAGUGAUUAGUAACACGAAAUGAAAGCUACGGCAUAAACGGAGACUAGCUAAAGGCGAGGUGACGAUACGUGUUGGAAGUGUUUCCAAGGUUGAUAUGAUCAAACGUCGCUCGUUCCCUCUACCAUCGGGAUUGGUAUUAAACCUAAAUAAUUGUUAUUUGGUGCUUGAGUUAAGCAUGAACAUGAUUGGAUCGUGUUUAUUGCAAUACGAUUAUUCAUUUAAAGAGAAUAAUGGUUACUCUAUUUUCUUGAAUAAUCACCUUCAAUGGUUUAUUGAAUCUCGAUCGUAUUGUUACACAUGUUCAUAAUAUUGGUGCCAAAAGAUACGAGGUAAUGAUGAUAGUACCACUUACUUGUGGCACUGCCGCUUGAGUCAUGUUGGUGUAAAUUGCAUGAAGAGGCUCCAUGCUGNNNNNNNNNNNNNNNNNNNNNNNNNNNNNNNNNNNNNNNNNNNNNNNNNNNNNNNNNNNNNNNNNNNNNNNNNNNNNNNNNNNNNNNNNNNNNNNNNNNNCGAAAACCUUCCGGUAACCAAAUGAGGUCAUCCUAUAUAUCAAUCUUCGUUUCCGGACCAUUCCGGAAACCCUCGUGACGUCCGUGAUCUCAUCCGGGACUCCGAACAACAUUCGGUAACCAACCAUAUAACUCAAAUACGCAUAAAACAACGUCGAACCUUAAGUGUGCAGACCCUGCGGGUUCGAGAACUAUGUAGACAUGACCCGAGAGACUCCUCGGUCAAUAUCCAAUAGCGGGACCUGGAUGCCCAUAUUGGAUCCUACAUAUUCUACGAAGAUCUUAUCGUUUGAACCUCAGUGCCAAGGAUUCAUAUAAUCCCGUAUGUCAUUCCCUUUGUCCUUCGGUAUGUUACUUGCCCGAGAUUCGAUCGUCAGUAUCCGCAUACCUAUUUCAAUCUCGUUUACCGGCAAGUCUCUUUACUCGUUCCGUAAUACAAGAUCCCGCAACUUACACUAAGUUACAUUGCUUGCAAGGCUUGUGUGUGAUGUUGUAUUACCGAGUGGGCCCCGAGAUACCUCUCCGUCACACGGAGUGACAAAUCCCAGUCUUGAUCCAUACUAACUCAACUAACACCUUCGGAGAUACCUGUAGAGCAUCUUUAUAGUCACCCAGUUACGUUGCGACGUUUGAUACACACAAAGCAUUCCUCCGGUGUCAGUGAGUUAUAUGAUCUCAUGGUCAUAGGAAUAAAUACUUGACACGCAGAAAACAGUAGCAACAAAAUGACACGAUAAACAUGCUACGUCUAUUAGUUUGGGUCUAGUCCAUCACGUGAUUCUCCUAAUGACGUGAUCCAGUUAUCAAGCAACAACACCUUGUUCAUAAUCAGAAGACCCUGACUAUCUUUGAUCAACUGGCUAGCCAACUAGAGGCUUGCUAGGGACAGUGUUUUGUCUAUGUAUCCACACAUGUAUAUAAGUCUUCAUUCAAUACAAUUAUAGCAUGGAUAAUAAACGAUUAUCAUGAACUAAGAAAUAUAAUAAUAACUAAUUUAUUAUUGCCUCUAGGGCAUAUUUCCAACAUGCUUACCACUGAAACUAUUCUCAACUCACGUGAUGAUCGGACUUGAGUUAGUGAAUUUGGAUCAUGUUCCACUCAAAUGACUAGAGAGAUGUAUUUUUUGAGUGGGAGUUCUUAAGUAAUAUGAUUAAUUGAACUAAUUAUCAUGAACAUAGUCAAAAGGUCUUUGUGAAUUAUGAUGUAGCUUGCGCUAUAGCUCUACUGUUUUUUAUAUGUUCCUAGAGAAAAUUUAGUUGAAAGAUGAUAGUAGCAACUUUGUGGACUGAGUCCGUAAAACUGAGGAUUGUCCUCAUUGGUGCGCAGAAGGCUUAUGUCCUUAAUGCACCACUCGGUGUGCUGCACCUCGAGCGUCGUCUGUGGAUGUUGUGAACAUCUGACAUACACGUUUCUGAUGACUACGCGAUAGUUCAGUGCGUAAUACUUAAUGGCUUAGAAGCAAGGCGCCGAAGACGUUUUGAAACGUCACAGAACAUGAGAGAUGUUCUAAGAGAUGAAAUUGAGAUUUCAUGCUCGUGCCCUUGUGAGAGGUAUGAGACCUCUGACAAGAUUCUUUGUCUACAAAGUAAAGGAGAAAAGCUCAAUCGUUGAGCGUGUCCUCAGAUUGUCUGAAUACAACAAUCGCUUGAAUCAAGUGGGAGUUAAUCUUCCACAUGAGAUAGUGAUGGUUCUCCAAAGUCACUGCCACCAAGCUGUGAGAGCUUCGUGAUGAACUAUAACAUAUCAAGGAUACAUACAAUGAUCCUUGAGCGAUUCGCGAUGUUUGACACUGCGAAAGUAGAAAUCAAGAAGGAGCAUCAAUAGUUGAUGGUUUGUAAAACCACUAAGUUUCAAGAAAGGCAAGGGCUAGAAGGGAUACUUCGUGAAACGGCAAACCAGUUGCUGCUCUAAUGAAGAGACCCAAGAUUAAACCCAAACCCGAGACUGAGUGCUUCUAUUAUGAGGGGAACGGUCACUCAGGCGGAGCAACUCAAGAUACUUGGUAGAUAAGAAGGCUGGCAAAAGUCGAAAGAAAUGUAUUUGAUAUACAUGAUAUUGAUGUGUACUUUACUAGUACUCCUAGUAGCACGAGGGUAUUGGAUACUGGUUCGGUUGCUAAGUGAUUAGUAACACGAAAUGAAAGCUACGAAUAAACGGAGACUAUCUAAAGGGGAGGUGACGAUAAGUGUUGGAAGUGUUUCCAAGGUUGAUGUGAUCAAAACAUCGCACGCUCCCUCUACCAUCAGGAUUGGUGUUAAACCUAAAUAAUUGUUAUUUGGUGCUUGCGUUGAACAUGAACAUGAUUGGAUCGUGUUUAUUGCAAUACGAUUAUUCUUUUAAAGAGAAUAAUGGUUACUCUAUUUUCUUGAAUAAUCACCUUCAAUGGUUUAUUGAAUCUCGAUCGUNNNNNNNNNNNNNNNNNNNNNNNNNNNNNNNNNNNNNNNNNNNNNNNNNNNNNNNNNNNNNNNNNNNNNNNNNNNNNNNNNNNNNNNNNNNNNNNNNNNNAAAAAAAAAAAAUAAUAUUUUUAUUAACACCCCGAUUCCUCCCGCCACUAGUGCGGAAUCAUAUGAAAUCAAUGCUGCUUUGUUGAAUCUCGUUAUGAAAGAGCAAUUCUCCGGCCUUCCUAGUGAAGAUGCCACAUCCCAUCUUAAUACCUUCAUUGAGUUAUGCGAUAUGCAAAAGAAGAAAGAUGUGGAUAAUGAUGUGAUUAAAUUGAAGCUAUUUCCGUUCUCAUUGCGAGAUCGAGCAAAAACUUGGUUUUAUCUUUGCCCAAAAAUAGUAUUUAUUCUUGGAACAAGUGCAAAGAUGCUUAUAUAUUCAAGUAUUUUCCACCGGCUAAGAUUAUCUCUCUCUCUCUAAUGAUAUCAUGAAUUUUAAGCAACUAUAUCAUGAACAUGUUGCACAAUCUUGGGAGAGAAUGAAAUUGAUGAUUAGAAAUUAUCCCGCUCAUGGCUUGAGUCUUUGGAUGAUUAUACAAAUCUUCUAUGUUGGUUUGAAUUUUGCUUCUAGAAAUAUCCUUGAUUCCGCUUCCGGUGGAACUUUCAUGGAAAUCACAUUAGGAGAAGCCACAAAACUCCUAGACAAUAUCAUGACAAACUAUUCUCAGUGGCACACUGAAAGGUCACCUACUAGUAAAAAAGUGCACGCUAUAGAAGAAAUUAACUCUUUGAGUGCUAAGAUGGAUGAGUUAAUGAAAUUGUUUGCUAGUAAAGGUGCUCCUUUAGAUCCAAAUGAUAUGCCCCUGUCUUCCUUGAUUGAGAGUAGCAAUGAGAGCUUGGAUGUCAAUUUUGUUGGUAGGAAUAAUUUUGGCCACAACAAUGCUUUUAGAGGUAACUAUAUUCCUAGGCCUUUUCCUAGUAAUCCCUCUAAUAACUUUGGCAAUUCCUACAACAAUGCUCAUGGAAAUUACAAUAAAUUACCCUCUGAUCUAGAGAGUAAUAUUAAAGAGUUCAUCAACUCGCAAAAGAUUUUCAAUGCAUCCAUAGAAGAAAAACUACUCAAAAUUGAUGAUUUGGCUAGGAGCGUUGAUAGAAUGUCUCUUGAUAUUGAUGCUUUGAAAGUGAGAUGCGCUCCUCCCAAGAUNNNNNNNNNNNNNNNNNNNNNNNNNNNNNNNNNNNNNNNNNNNNNNNNNNNNNNNNNNNNNNNNNNNNNNNNNNNNNNNNNNNNNNNNNNNNNNNNNNNNACACACAAUCCUCGCCCAACACUCGUGGUAAGUCUUCAGGGCAGACUUCCAAACCCUCACAAACUAGGUCACCCGACAAUCCACAAUUGACUGCUGGAAAGCUCUAGACCAUGACGCCUAACCGUCUAGAGGAUGCACAAUCCUCAAAGGUAAAAGGCUUCAGUCCCACAUAGGAACAACUUCUUCAGUGAUGCUCAAUCACUAGGUUUGGUUUGUGGUUUCGGUGGGUGGUGUAUUUCCUCACUGAUGAUUUACUCUCGAAGGCUCUGAGGAAUUUGGGUUGCUCUUAUGACAAGUGUCAGUUUCUAACGGAGCAGCCAACCAACUAAUGGUUGUGGGGGGUGGCUAUUUAUAGCCUGGGAGCAUCCCGACAUGAUUUGACACUAAUGCCCUUAAAUAAUAUGACCGUUGGAGUGGAUAAGACCAAUGACUUGGCGUGGCUAUCGAAACGGUCGGAACCCUCAACUGUGAGAGUGCUCAUGUCACUCGUAUUCCUCACUUGAGGCUUUUGGUAGGAUUAGGCUUGGGUUGAGCAUCAUGAGGAAAUUCAUUCCAUAGUAUAACUUUGACCCCCUUUAACAGUACGGUGUCCCUAUUACUCAAAUGCGAAGAAAGUAAAACAGAAAGUGUAAAUCUUCAUGCUUCAAAUUCUUCAGAAUGAUUUUCUUCAGGAACCACCGGACUUCUCAAUAUCAGUAUCUUCAUGAGGAAUAUCAAUUUCAUCACAGAUUCCUCGCGAUUCAUUUCUUCAGCUUCAGACCAAUUUCUUCAACUGAAGACAUAUAUUUUUAGGGGUCGAUAUUCUUCAAAUAUCUCAAACUCCUCAAUGACUUAUAGAUCCUGUGUACACUUACAAACACAUUAGAUACUUAACCUAUAAGUCUUCAAACUANNNNNNNNNNNNNNNNNNNNNNNNNNNNNNNNNNNNNNNNNNNNNNNNNNNNNNNNNNNNNNNNNNNNNNNNNNNNNNNNNNNNNNNNNNNNNNNNNNNNAUAUAUUUCCAUGCAACACUACAACAAAACCCCACCUAUUGCAACGCUUUUUUCCGUAUCUAAAUCUUCAUAUACGCGUUGCUAGUGUCUUUACCAACGGUUUGGGAUGCGUUGCCUUAUCCAGUGUUGCUAGGAGCAUAAUGCAACGCUUAUAUUCCGUUGAUAAAAGAGACUGUUGCAAAAGAACAACACAUAAAAUCGACUUCUACAACACUUUUAUAUGUUGGUGCUUAGGGUACAAGAACCCAAAUCUCAUAGCUUGGCAACAAAUAAUCUGCAACGCUUCAAGUGUUGGUACAUUUAUAUUGUGAAUAAUAAUAUUAAAUUAGUGCUCUACAUAAUGACAAUAAUUAUGUAUAUCAAGUGAGCAAAAAAAUAAGAGAAUAUAAUCACAAAAGGAAGAAAUCAUAUAUUGAAUAAAAAUGUUGGAUUACAAUAGUGGAUAUUACAAGAGGAACAUCAUCCAGUUGACUAUACAAAACAAUCUCACUAAAAGGUAGAUUUACAAAACUUGCAGGUGCCUAUCCAAGACAAUCCUCUCUUCUUCAACCGUUGACAAAACGCACGCUAAGCUCCUAUCCUAUCAUAAAAGAUUCUCAGCACCCAACCACCAGCAUACUUCAAUAUGAUGAUGGGAUACCAUGUUCGAAGUCAUAAUCAUCAACUAUCUUUUCUAAUGACUCAAUAUCACCNNNAUAUCACCAGCUUCAAAAAGAGUACGACUGAAAAGGACGUCUGCACAACUGAGCAAAAACAGAAGAGGACAUUGACGGGUCUGCAGGUCAUAUGCUAUUGUAACGAGCCACUCCUUGAUUACCAAAAUCAUAGCUUCUCGGGGUCCAUUAAUAAUCUGCAGGAGUUGUACUAGAAAUGCACAAUUAGGGUAUUGUAUCAUUUCAUUAUGUGUGAAAAUCUGUAACUAAGUAGUCGUGAGAACAAAUAUAUGUAUGGAGCAUUGCACUGAAAUGGGACAUCAAGCAAUACUGGCAAGAUAGUGCUAAUAGUAUUAUAGCCAUGUGCACUGUUAGGUACUCAAGUCUGACACCCGAGCAUCUAUCCCUUCUACUAAAUGAUUGAAACAAGCAAACCAAUUUCAAGUCAGCAGCUUAGGUAGAAACUGAUCGGCAUUUCAUUUAUUCUCACAUGAUGAUUCUUGAUAGAAAAAUAGAUGUUCUUUUGUCAACUAAUUUAUCCAACAAUAGUUAAACGUAGAACACAGAAGCACGAAUUCAUACUGAACAAAAAGGCACAUGUACGUGCAAGUGACUUCAUGGUUGUUCUCCUAUNNNNNNNNNNNNNNNNNNNNNNNNNNNNNNNNNNNNNNNNNNNNNNNNNNNNNNNNNNNNNNNNNNNNNNNNNNNNNNNNNNNNNNNNNNNNNNNNNNNNCACACGUACAGCUCGACGAUGAUCUCGGCCUUCUUGAUCCAGCAAGAGAGACGGAGAGGUAGAUGAGUUCUCCGGCAGCGUGACGGCGCUCCGGAGGUUGGUGGUGAUCUUAUCUCAGCAGGGCUCCGCCCGAGCUCCGCAGAAACGCGAUCUAGAGGUAAAACCGUGGAGAUAUGUGGUCGGGCUGCCGUGGCAAAGUUGUCUCAAAUCAGCCCUAAAACCUCCGUAUAUAUAGGUGGGAGAGGGGGAACCUUGCCUUGGGGAUCAAGGAGCCCCAAGGGGGUCAGCCGAGCCAAAGGGGGGAAGGUCUCCCCUUCCAAACCGAAUCCAACUUGGUUUGGAAGGUGGAGUCCUUCUUCCCUUUCCCACCUCCUCCUUUUUUUUCCUUUUCUCUUUGAUUUUCUUCCUAUGGUGCAUAGGGCCUUCCCGGGCUGUCCCACCAGCCCACUAAGGGCUUGUGCGCCACCCCCAAGGCCUAUGGGCUUCCCCGGGGUGGGUUGCCCCCCCCCCCCNNNNNNNNNNNNNNNNNNNNNNNNNNNNNNNNNNNNNNNNNNNNNNNNNNNNNNNNNNNNNNNNNNNNNNNNNNNNNNNNNNNNNNNNNNNNNNNNNNNNCUCUGGAGCAGCACGUGGUCUCGUCGACCUGCGUGGUUCAACAGAAACUUGAACCGGAGUUUCAUGAUCAUCAUCAUUAACUUCCUCCUCAACCGGCGUUGCAAUGACAGAGGUUUCCCCUUGCCCUGCGCCACCAUCCAGAGGGAUGAGAGGUUCGACAACCUCGUCAAGUUCUAUCUUCCUCCUACUCAAUUCUCUCGAGAGAAACUUCUUCUCGAGAAAAGUUCCGUUCUUAGCAACAAACACUUUGCCCUCGGAUUUGAGAUAGAAGGUGUACCCAACUGUCUCUUUUGGGUAACCUAUGAAGAUGCACUUUUCCGCUUUGGGUUCCAGCUUUUCAGGCUGAAGCUUUUUGACAUAAGCAUCACAUCCCCAAACUUUAAGAAACGACAACUUUGGCCUUUUGCCAUACCAUAGUUCGUAUGGUGUCGUCUCAACGGAUUUUGAUGGUGCCCUAUUUAAAGUGAAUGCAGCUGUUUCUAAUGCAUAACCCCAAAACGAUAACGGCAAAUCGAUAAGAGACAUCAUAGAUCGUACCAUCUCUAAUAAAGUACGAUUACGACGUUCGGACACACCAUUACGCUGUGGUGUUCCAGGCGGUGUCANNNNNNNNNNNNNNNNNNNNNNNNNNNNNNNNNNNNNNNNNNNNNNNNNNNNNNNNNNNNNNNNNNNNNNNNNNNNNNNNNNNNNNNNNNNNNNNNNNNNUGUUAUAGGACAUGUGCAUUUCCUUGUGGACACGUGUAGAGUGAGUCGUCGUUAUACCUUGAACACUAGAGAAACGACAUGAUCAGGAUCAACACAUAGGAAAGCUGUUGUUGUUACCGUGCUGUGAGAUUGUGUAAUGCCUGAAUAAGGGGAAUUCUGGGGGUUCCCCGCCCUGAAUUUCGUCCGGAAUAAAUGGCGGUUUCGUGUCGCCCAAAUCAUCGCGUGUCGCUGUAUGAUUGUUCCAAAACUUGUCUGAGCUUAUCACAGUGCUAUGCGUCCAGGUGUGGUUUGGAUGGCCAUUGUUGUUGCAAUUUUUUAGNUUUUAGACUGCGCAAGUAAAGAAAAUAGAGUGGAACAUGCAUGUG